AGUACGUCCUCUCUAAUGCAAAGUAAUGUUUUCAGCCAAAUUGCGUUGCCUCGCUUGUGGACAAGAUUAAAAAUCAAUGGUUUUAAUAUCCUAGCACUUUAAGUAGCCAAGAGUUUUUAAAUGUGCUUGAGAAACGUAAAACUACAUUU